AGAGACGCGCGCGCGCGCCUCACUUCCCACGCGCAUGCGCCAUAGCAACUGAGAUUCCUCUGAGAGGUCUAGGCCGCUGAAGGAGUGCCAGCAGUUUCUCUUCUGGCUGGUUCAGGCGGUGCUUCUCUCUGCUUCAGUCAGACCCGUAGCCAAAAAGAAAAAUUCAGGAGGGGUUGAAUUCCCCCCCUCAAGAUGAUUUUUCAGGUCUGUCUCCUGGUCAACAAGGCCCUGAAAUUACCAUCAUUAUGCAAAAGUUCUUCACAGUGAAAAAUACGGUCCUCCAACACUGGAAAAGAAAGUAGUGAUGACAAGAAGCGAAGAAGUGGAUGAGGGAAAGUAAAACUGAUGUGGAUUUGUCACAAGCUCAGCUACAAGAAACAAAACCACAAUGGUCUGUUAAUAUACUGCCUUUUUGAAUAGAAAUACUUAUGAAAAUUUACCUGCCCUUUGUAGUUUGUAGGAACGCCUCCCAUAUUGUAAUGCACAGUGGGCAGAACAGGAAUGGGUUCUUUGGUGACAUCCACACCAGCAAAUAUCAUAGCAGUUUCUGAAAUCCCAGGAAGACGUGUGGCUAGCUGCUGAGGUGGCAAAUGGUGCAACUGCAAGUACACAUGGUCUUUCUCAGGUCCACAUCCUCUGUUAUUUAAAAUUAAAAAGUAGCUGUAGUCUCUUUAUAAUUCA